UACAGAGGUCUCAAGCGUUGUUCGGAUUCAUUGGGCGUAAAGGGUGUGUAGGUGGCGCGCUAAGUCGGGUGUGAAAUUUCGGAGCUUAACUCCGAAACUGCCUUCGAUACUGUUCGGCUUGAGUCCUGGAGAGGGUAGCGGAAUUCCCGGUGUAGCGGUGAAAUGCGUAGAGACCGGGAAGAACACCAGUGGCGAAGGCGGCUACCUGGACAGGUACUGACGCUGAAGCGCGAAAGCUAGGGGAGCAAACGGG
rnacentral:rRNA from 1 species